UACAGAGGGUGCGAGCGUUAAUCGGAAUUACUGGGCGUAAAGCGCACGUAGUCGGCUUUGCAAGUCGGUUGUGAAAGCCCUUGGCUUAACCGAGGAAGUGCAUCCGAAACUGGCGAGCUAGAGUACUAAAGAGGAUCGCGGAAUUCCCGGUGUAGAGGUGAAAUUCGUAGAUAUCGGGAGGAACACCGGUGGCGAAGGCGGCGAUCUGGGUAGAUACUGACGCUGAGGUGCGAAAGCGUGGGGAGCAAACAGG
rnacentral:rRNA from 1 species